rnacentral:misc_RNA from 1 species
UCGUGGAGCUUCGGCUCCUUCGAGGGAGAACCCUUGCCUUUUCAAGCACCUGUUUGUUUCCUCGGCAGGCCCGCCUGCCAAUGGGGACCCCUUAAACUCUUGCAAUCAACCUGAACAAUAUCGUCUGAAUUAAAAAUUUAAAUCA